rnacentral:rRNA from 1 species
UACGAAGGGGGGCUAGCGUUGUCCGGAAUUACUGGGCGUAAAGAGCUCGUAGGUGGUUUGUCGCGUUGUUCGUGAAAACCUGAGGCUUAACCUUGGGCGUGCGGGCGAUACGGGCAGACUGGAGUACUGCAGGGGAGACUGGAAUUCCUGGUGUAGCGGUGGAAUGCGUAGAUAUCAAGAGGAACACCUGAGGUGAAGACGGGGUUGCUGGGCUGACACUGACGCUGAGGCGCGAAAGCUAGGGUAGCAAACGGG